GAUGAACGCUAGCGGCGUGCCUAAUACAUGCAAGUCGAGCGAACAGACGAGGAGCUUGCUCCUCUGACGUUAGCGGCGGACGGGUGAGUAACACGUGGAUAACCUACCUAUAAGACUGGGAUAACUUCGGGAAACCGGAGCUAAUACCGGAUAAUAUAUUGAACCGCAUGGUUCAAUAGUGAAAGACGGUUUUGCUGUCACUUAUAGAUGGAUCCGCGCCGCAUUAGCUAGUUGGUAAGGUAACGGCUUACCAAGGCAACGAUGCGUAGCCGACCUGAGAGGGUGAUCGGCCACACUGGAACUGAGACACGGUCCAGACUCCUACGGGAGGCAGCAGUAGGGAAUCUUCCGCAAUGGGCGAAAGCCUGACGGAGCAACGCCGCGUGAGUGAUGAAGGUCCUCGGAUCGUAAAACUCUGUUAUUAGGGAAGAACAAAUGUGUAAGUAACUAUGCACGUCUUGACGGUACCUAAUCAGAAAGCCACGGCUAACUACGUG
rnacentral:rRNA from 1 species